UACGAAGGGGGAGCUAGCGUUGUUCGGAUUUACUGGGCGUAAAGCGCACGUAGGCGGAUCUUUAAGUCAGAGGUGAAAUCCCCAAGGCUCAACCUUGGAACUGCCUUUGAUACGUGGGGAUCUUGAGUCCGGGAGAGGUGAGUGGAACUGCGAGUGUAGAGGUGAAAUUCGUAGAUAUUCGCAAGAACGCCAGUGGCGAAGGCGGCC
rnacentral:rRNA from 1 species